rnacentral:rRNA from 1 species
AACGCGAAGAACCUUACCAGGGUUUGACAUCCUGUGCUCACUCCUGAAAGGGAGCUUCCCCGCAAGGGGCGCAGAGACAGGUGCUGCAUGGCUGUCGUCAGCUCGUGUCGUGAGAUGUUGGGUUAAGUCCCGCAACGAGCGCAACCCUCGCCUUUAGUUGCCAUCAUUCAGUUGGGCACUCUAGAGGGACCGCCGGCGGCAAGCCGGAGGAAGGUGGGGAUGACGUCAAGUCAGCAUGGCCCUUACGUCCCGGGCUACACACGUGCUACAAUGGGAGGGACAACGAGUCGCGAACCCGCGAGGGCAAGCUAAUCUCACAAACCCUCUCUCAGUUCGGAUUGAAGGCUGCAACUCGCCUUCAUGAAGUCGGAAUCGCUAGUAACCGUAGAUCAGCUACGCUGCGGUGAAUACGUUCCCGGGCCUUGUACACACCGAGUAUA